UCUAUGAGGAUCCUCAGCUCACUCCACAUACUUACAGUCUCAACAAGGAGGAGGAAAAUACUCUGAGGAACUUCAGUUUCUAAAGAAUUGCAUGUCUUCCUGGACUCAGAAAUUUCA
rnacentral:lncRNA from 1 species